ensembl:lncRNA
AAGAGGGGGGUCAUUUUCUCUAAUCUCUUUGAGAGAGCUUUGCAGAUUAUUUUAAGGUCUACAUUUAAAAGAGAAAUUGGACGAUAGCUUGAGGGAAAUAAAGGGUCUUUGCCUGGUUUUAGCAGGAGACUAAUGUUGGCAGAAUUCAUAUUUGGUGGUAGUCUGCCCUUUUUCUCGAUUUCCUGCAACAUGCUGUAGAAUACUGGUGCCAAAAUUAUCCAGAAUUCUUUGUAGAAUUCUGCAGGGAAGCCGUCUGGACCUGGAGCCUUAUUAUUGGGCAUACUUAUCAGGGCUUCCUGGAGUUCACUUGGCGUCAGUGGCGAAUCCAGUUCCAUUGCUUGACUGUCUAGUAAUUUUGGAAGAGUUACGUUGUCAAGAAACAGAUCAAUUUCAUUUUUAGAUGGGUUUAUUUGUGGUGAGUAUAAAGUUUCAUAGAAAUCCCUAAAAAUGUUGUUUAUUCUUCCAGGAUCAUAUAUUGUGUUCCCCGAUAAAUCUUUAGCAGCACAUAUAGUUAUUUUUUCUUUAUUUAUUUUUAGCUGGUUAGCUAGAAAUCGACCUGAUUUGUUACUGUGUUCAAAAUUCUGCAAGCGAAGUCUUUGUAUAAGGAAUUGUGUUUUUUUAUUAAUAGUUUCAUUUAAUUCUAGUUUUGUUUUGCAUAUUUUGUUCAAUGUUUCCUGAUCUUGGUGGGACGCGUAGGCUUCUUCUAGUGAUUUGAUGUUUUUUUCUAAUUCCUGAAUAUUUUUGUUUUCUUCUUUCUUUUUGUGUGAUGAGAAAGAAAUUAUUUUACCUCUCAUCACAGCUUUCCCUGCUUCCCAUAGAACAGAAGCAGAUAUUCCGGGAGUGUCAUUAAAAAGAUCGGAAAAAUGUUGCCUGAUGAUUCUUGAUUGUUCUGUGAUGUUCAGAUGGUAGAGACAGAGUUUGUUGUAAACAACAUGAAAGCACAGAUCCAUCCUGCCUUCAUUUCAAACUGAUUUUUCUUUUAACAUGGCGGUGAGUUCACUGCAGUCAC